AAGGGCGUGCAUAAUCAUGCAGUCGAGCGGAAGAUGGGAGCUUGCUCCCUGAUGUUAGCGGCGGACGGGUGAGUAACACGUGGGUAACCUGCCUGUAAGACUGGGAUAACUCCGGGAAACCGGGCCUAAUACCGGAUGCUUGCUUGACCCAUGGUCAAAUGGAAAACCCCGAUCCGACUAGGACUUCCGAUGGGCCCCCGGUCCACCUCAGUUGCCAUGUACGGGUACCCCGGAAACACCCCGUAUCAAACCGAAAAAAUGCUCGCCGGGGGUGGGACAAAUCGGAGAUACCCGGGGGUUGACGGGAGCGCCUCGUCAGAAAGAGGGAUGCAGAAGCAAAACCCCGGGUUGGGGGUUAUUGCUUUUUUUUUUUUAAACCUCUCUUGACACGGAGAUCGCCCCCUUUG
rnacentral:rRNA from 1 species